AUUCUAAGAUGGUAAUAUUGACGGACUCUCAAUCAGCAUGUUGGUACCUGAUCAACCAGGCCAAUCUGGAAAGUGUGGAUCAGAUCUCAUAUGAAAUAUUUAAAAACAUGUCAAAAAAACAUAUAAGCCUGCAAUGGAUCCCUGCACACGUGGGCGUCGAAGGCAAUGAACGGGCGGAUGAAUUAGCCAAGCUUGGCUUAAACAAUCCAGCCGUAGUACGGAAUAAAUUACUUUGGCACGACUUGGUUUGCGAGUUUAGAACACAACUAAAUAUAAGCACGAAUGACUGGUACAGAAGAAUCACUCUCGAAGACGGAAAAGGUCGGAAAUUCUUUGAAAUAGUGGAGAACUACCCGGAAAAACCAUGGUACUGGAACUAUCAGUUGAACGGAAAAGACAUAAGGCUUCUUAAUAGAAUAAUAGCGGGACACGACUACUCAAACUUUUGGCUAGCAAAACUCAAACUCCAAGAGUCAGAAGAAUGUGAUAUAUGCGAAGAGCUGGAUACAACCGAACAUGCCCUACUUUGGUGCAUUAAAUACGGGCACGUAAGAAAUCAUUUUGACUGGGAAAUAUACCGGAACCUGAAGGAAUUAAUGGGAGAGCUAGAAGAAGAAAAACUGAAGGAAAUAGUGAAAUUUUUGAAGAUGGCCAGAUUGAAACCAUAAACAAGAUACGUCAAAAAUUACCAGAAGGCAGCAACUGGCGGAUAUGAGGCAACACAGUCCCUCAAGUCAUAAACGUCAAAACGCAACAACAACAACAACAACAGUGGUAUUAUUCCGCUCGGAGGCUUGCGAAAUUUUGACAGAAUGCGAUAAAAAAAUACAAAAAAAAACAAGAUUUGUGAAUUUUUUGUAUUUUUUCAUCACAAGCUGUCAACAUGUAUAGAAUUUGCUUUUGCGAUGCAAUCGGUCGAAACGAUGGCAAGUGCUGCUGAUAACUGAGUCAAAAAGGCAGAGGAUCAGGAAAUUUAUGCUCUCGUAAGUGCCUAACCUGUUUUUGGAGCGAUCAUUGUUUCAUAGGAUUUGUAUUUUUCUUUUCAAUACAAAAGGUAGCGAUCCGAGUAUCACCAAGGAUAAGAAACCGGAGCCGGCGGUUGGCAGUCCGGAAAAAGAGGAUGCGGAAAAACCUAGUCCAUCGGCAGUAGAACCAGCGACGGUUACUCCCGUAGAAACGGCUGAUCCUGCAGUUUUGAGUUCGUUAAUUAUGGAAAUUCUGACUGGCUGCUCCUGAAGAAAGACAAGCUGCUAGUGGAAAUAGAAAAACAGCUUCCUACACGGAAGAUGCAGAUGCAUUCAACCCGGAGGAUGCAAAAAAACUUUCGAAGCUUUGCACAUGAAGCCGGAACUGCUUCAGGGAGUCUAUGCUAUGGAUUCCAACGCCCCUUCCAAGAUUCAGGAAACGGCUCUACCUACUCUGUUGGCCGAUCCGCCCAGCACAUGAUCGCCCAGUCAGUCAGAAACAAGAGAAACCGCUGCUUUCGCGCGGACAAUGCUCAGUCGAGUCGAUCCGUUAAAAAAACUAUCCGCAGGUGUUUUGCCUUUCCCUUACGUAUGAACUGGCAAAUCAGAAGGGGGUAGCAGUUGCCAAAAUUAAAAAGUUAUGUCCGGAAAUCAAAUUUAGUUACCUCAUCCGCGGCGAGGAGAUUGUCAAAGGGGCGAAGCUGAUUAAUCAUAUCAUCAUCGAAACACCCGGUAAGCUGAUGGACUGGAAUAUAAAAUUCAGGCGUUCGACCUUGAGAAAUUGCCGUUUGUGUACUAAACGAAGCGGGCGUUAUGAUCGCUGUUCUUGGCCACGUACGAGCGGGAGGUAAUGGAGUUCGCCGAGUACAUCUUACCCGAUCCGAUCGUGAUUCAGCUAGCGCGGGAGCAAGAAUCACUAGAUAACAUCAAACAGCACUACAAUAAGUACCGCAACCAGGACGAGAAAUAUCAAGCAAUUUCGAUCAUCUUUGGCGUGAUUACCAUCGGAUAUGCGAUCAUUUUCUGUCGUGUGAGUAUAGGACAGUUGUGAUUGGCAUUGUUAAUCGAUGGAAACAGACACGCAAAACGGCCGAUAGGAUGGUCAUUCGGUAGCGGUACUGUCCGGUGAUUUAACGGUGGAGCAAUGGUUUGCCGGUCUGAAUCGAUUCCGAGCCGGACUAAAGAAGGUAUUGAUUACAACGAACGUUUUGUCUUGGGGUAUCGAUGUCGAACAGGUGACCAUUGUAAACUUCAUCCUGUCGAUGGAUCAGUAGAGACGAGCCGAUGGCGAAACGUAUCUGCAUCGAAUUGGACGCACCGGUAAAUUCUGCAUCGCCAUCAACCUGGUGGGCAGUGAUCGAAGCAUGAUGAUUUGCAGAUCAUUCGAAAAACACUUCCAGAAAAAGAUUCAGCUGCUAGACGCGGAGAAUUCGGACGUUAUUGAAAAGAUCGGAUCGUAGUGUUUUCGACCAGCUACUGGUGAAAGGCGCUGGAGCUUUUUUGGUUCAUUAUUGUUCCGAUUGUGAAUCUAUAACUUUAUUUAGCUCUAUCAGUUGAUUUCCUUAGGAUUAGUUCAAGGAUCGGUAACGCGAGGAUUGUGAAGUGCAUGUUUAAUUGUUAUAACUUGGAGUUAAGUGAACCACAGAUAACAGACGUUUAAGCUCGAUUUGAAUCGUGUAUAAAAGCCCGCUACUGAAAUUCCGAAUAAAUUAGACGUCUGAAACACGUUUGGCAAACGUUUGCAGAUGACGCAGUGAUCAAUACAAUGCAGUUAGAGUGCAGCUGUUAAACACGUGUAGCAAACAGUUGCGCAGAUGGCAAUAGUGAAACACGGAUUUCCAACGUUUAUCAAUUUGAAAGUUUACACAGGUUUUUGAAGAAAUUUUGUUCUAGCCUAAACGUCUGUUAUCUGUGGGUAAACUCUUGAAGAAAACGACUUUGUUUUUUUAUUUUGUCGUUGGACGGCCAGUAGAGUGAAGUGGCAAGAAUUUUUCCAAAACACCUUGAAGAAGAAGAUGAAAAAUAUUUUGUUCAAUACCAUGUAAAUAAAUAUUUCAAGAAGAUAGAACAGACAGCUAUAAAACAGCAAAAAAAUCUAAAAGAAAUUAUAUAUGCUUCGAAGCGAUUUUCAUCGUUGGCGCCGUUUCCGUCGUCGUCAUCCUCAGUAAGUUGUUCCUUCUUAACAUCGA